rnacentral:rRNA from 1 species
UACGAAGGGGGCUAGCGUUGCUCUGAAUCACUGGGCGUAAAGGGCGCGUAGGCGGCCGAUUAAGUCGGGGGUGAAAGCCUGUGGCUCAACCACAGAAUUGCCUUCGAUACUGGUUGGCUUGAGACCGGAAGAGGACAGCGGAACUGCGAGUGUAGAGGUGAAAUUCGUAGAUAUUCGCAAGAACACCAGUGGCGAAGGCGGCUGUUUGGUCCGGUUCUGACGCUGAGGCGCGAAAGCGUGGGGAGCAAACAGG